UGGUGCAUGGUUGUCGUCAGCUCGUGUCGUGAGAUGUUGGGUUAAGUCCCGCAACGAGCGCAACCCUUGCCAUUAGUUGCUACGAAAGGGCACUCUAAUGGGACUGCCGGUGACAAACCGGGAGGAAGGUGGGGAUGACGUCAAGUCCUCAUGGCCCUUAUAGGUGGGGCUACACACGUCAUACAAUGGCCGGUACAGAGGGUAGCCAACCCGCGAGGGGGAGCCAAUCCCACAAAGCCGGUCGUAGUCCGGAUCGCAGUCUGCAACUCGACUGCGUGAAGUCGGAAUCGCUAGUAAUCGCGGAUCAGCAUGUCGCGGUGAAUACGUUCCCGGGUCUU
rnacentral:rRNA from 1 species